rnacentral:rRNA from 1 species
AUGAGCCCGCGGCCUAUCAGCUUGUUGGUGGGGUGAUGGCCUACCAAGGCGACGACGGGUAGCCGGCCUGAGAGGGUGACCGGCCACACUGGGACUGAGAUACGGCCCAGACUCCUACGGGAGGCAGCAGUGGGGAAUAUUGCACAAUGGGCGCAAGCCUGAUGCAGCGACGCCGCGUGAGGGAUGACGGCCUUCGGGUUGUAAACCUCUUUCAGUGCCGACGAAGCGGAAGUGACGGUAGGCACAGAAGAAGGACCGGCCAACUACGUGCCAGCAGCCGCGGCC